GAUGAACGCUGGCGGCGGGCCUAAUACAUGCAAGUCGAGCGAACAGACGAGGAUCUUGCUUGUUUGACGUUAGCGGCGGACGGGUGAGUCACAGGUGGAUACCUGACCUAUAAGACUGGGAUAACUUCGGGAAACCGGAGCUAAUACCGGAUAAUAUAUUGAACCGCAUGGUUCACUAGACAAAGACGGUUUUGCUGUCACUAAUAGAUGGAACCGCGUCGCAUUAGCUAGUUGGUAGGGUAACGGCUUACCAAGGCAACGAUGCGUAGCCGACCUGAGAGGAUGAUCAGCCACACUGGAACUGAGACACGGUCCAGACUCCUACGGGAGGCAGCAGUGGGGAAUAUUCGACAAUGGGCGAAAGCCUGACGCAGCAACGCCGCGUGAGUGAUGAAGGUCUUCGGAUCGUAAAGCACUGUUAGUAGGGAGGAACGGCUGUGUAUGAAUCUCUGGAUGUCUUGACGGUACCUAAACAAUAAGCCCCGGCUAACUUCGUG
rnacentral:rRNA from 1 species